rnacentral:rRNA from 1 species
CAGUCGGCUACGAGGACGACGCUGGCGGCGUGCCUAACACAUGCAAGUCGAACGGGGUGAUCCGCUUCGGUGGAUCACUUAGUGGCGAACGGGUGAGUAACGCGUGAGGAACCUGCCUUUCAGUGGGGGACAACAGUCCGAAAGGACUGCUAAUACCGCAUAAUGCAGUUGGGUCGCAUGGCUCUGACUGCCAAAGAUUUAUCGCUCUGAGAUGGCCUCGCGUCUGAUUAGCUAGUUGGUGGGGUAACGGCCCACCAAGGCGACGAUCAGUAGCCGGACUGAGAGGUUGGCCGGCCACAUUGGGACUGAGACACGGCCCAGACUCCUACGGGAGGCAGCAGUGGGGAAUAUUGGGCAAUGGGCGCAAGCCUGACCCAGCAACGCCGCGUGAAGGAAGAAGGCUUUCGGGUUGUAAACUUCUUUUAACAGGGACGAAGAAAGUGACGGUACCUGUUGAAUAAGCCACGGCUAACUACGUG